UACAGAGGGUGCAAGCGUUAAUCGGAAUUACUGGGCGUAAAGCGCGCGUAGGUGGUUUGUUAAGUUGGAUGUGAAAUCCCCGGGCUCAACCUGGGAACUGCAUUCAAAACUGACAAGCUAGAGUAUGGUAGAGGGUGGUGGAAUUUCCGUGUGUAGCGGUGAAAUGCGUAGAUAUAGGAAGGAACACCAGUGGCGAAGGCGACCACCUGGGAUGAUACUGACACUGAGGUGCG
rnacentral:rRNA from 1 species